rnacentral:rRNA from 1 species
UACGUAGGGGCCUAGCGUUGUCCGGAUUUAUUGGGCGUAAAGAGCUCGUAGGCGGUUUGGUGAGUCGGGUGUGAAAUCUCCACGCUCAACGUGGAGGAGCCACCCGAUACUGCCAUGACUAGAGUCCGGUAGGGGAGUGUGGAAUUCCCGGUGUAGCGGUGAAAUGCGCAGAUAUCAGGAGGAACACCGGUGGCGAAGGCGGCAUCCUGGACCGGCAUUGACGCUGAGGCGCGAAAGCCAGGGGAGCAAACGGG